GAUGAAGAACGUAGUGAAAUGCGAUAAGUAAUGUGAAUUGCAGAAUUCAGUGAAUCAUCGAAUCUUUGAACGCACAUUGCGCCCGCCAGCAUUCUGGCGGGCAUGCCUGUUCGAGCGUCAUUUCAACCCUCGAGCCCCCCCGGGGGCCUCGGUGUUGGGGGACGGCACACCAGCCGCCCCCGAAAUGCAGUGGCGACCCCGCCGCAGCCUCCCCUGCGUAGUAGCACACACCUCGCACCGGAGCGCGGAGGCGGUCACGCCGUAAAACGCCCAACUUUCUUAGAGUUGACCUCGGAUCAGGUAGGAAUACCCGCUGAACUUAAGCAUAUCAAUAAGCGGAGA
rnacentral:misc_RNA from 1 species